ensembl:misc_RNA Metazoa_SRP Metazoan signal recognition particle RNA
GCCGGGCAUGUUGGCGCAUGCCUGUAAUCCCAGCUACUCAGGAGGCUGAGGCAGGAGAAUCUCUUGAACCCAGGGGGCGGAGGUUGCAGUGAGCCAAGAUCGUGCCACUGCAUUCCAGCCUGGGUGACAGAGCGAGACUCUGUCUCAA